rnacentral:rRNA from 1 species
UACGGGGGGAGCAAGCGUUGUUCGGAUUUACUGGGCGUAAAGGGCGCGUAGGCGGUCGUGACAAGUCACUUGUGAAAUCUCCGGGCUUAACUCGGAACGGUCAAGUGAUACUGUCGGACUAGUGUACAGAAGGGGCAACUGGAAUUCUCGGUGUAGCGGUGAAAUGCGUAGAUAUCGAGAGGAACACCUGCGGCGAAGGCGGGUUGCUGGGCUGAUACUGACGCUGAGGCGCGAAAGCCAGGGGAGCGAACGGG